GAGAAAAUCUGAAUUAUGAAAUAGUCGCAAUUACUAGAAGUCAGAUCGUGAGAUAAAAAGUCGCAAUUGUGAGAAAAUCUGAAUUAUGAGAUAGUCGCAAUUACUAGAAGUCAGAUCGUGAGAUAAAAAGUCGCAAUUGCAUGAAAAAUCACAAAUCGUGAGAUACAAACCCACAACUGCGAGAAAAGUCAGAAUAAAAAAAAUUCUAAGGGGAAAAAAGUCUGAAUUGUGAGAUAGAAAAUCAUAUUUUCCUCAUGCAAAAUGUCAUUUCUUGUGAGAGAAACAGGAGCUGGAUGUGUCUUGGUCUUGUUGGUGUGUUACGUGGUCAGAUUUCUCCGCUUCAUCUUAACUUAAACAUAUGAACUAUCUACAGGCUCCUCAUACAUCACCAACAAAACCACGAGCGUGUGAAU